rnacentral:misc_RNA from 1 species
AUAUACCAUGAGUACGAGGAAUUACCGCCAACAGCGCUGCGGAUGGUUUCAGUAUGGCAGCGUUAAUUUUUUAUUCUCAAACGUGAUUCAAGAUCAAACGUGCAUUAUUUGGAUUUUAUACCACGUGUGCAUAAAUGUAGACGAUUUAUUUUACGAGUUACGACAGUCAUUAAUAAAUAAUGAGUGCAAAUAAUCUUAAAGAAGCAUUUGCAGUCGAGGCGAAACACAGUGCAUUUUACACCGGCGGUAAAAUAUGUUGGAGUCCAGAUGGAGAUCACUUGCUGUGUCAAAAUGGUGGAUCCAUAUCAGUUUUGUUAAUAAGCAAAGGUUUGGUAAUUUGUCGUUUGGGAGAAACUCAGGAGGACCAAGAGGAAGAUACAGUCAACAGUUUUACAAUCAGUCCAGACAAUAUUCAUGCUGUCAGUCAUCACAAGAGUAGUUUAUUCAAAUUAUGGACGUGGCAAGAUGGCAAACUUGUUAAAGUAUGGAAGUCAAUACACAUAGGACCUGUAGCACAAAUAGUUUUGCAAGGCGAUGGAGAAAUAAUGGUAUCAGGGGGUAGCGACGGUGGUGUGAGACUCUGGAAUCUAAGUCAUCAAGCAUGUACGCACAGUUUCAAAGGGAUCACCGGAGUUGUGAGCGUCCUGGCUUUUCAUCCAGACCCACAAAAGGAACUUAUUUUUGCUGCUGGUGACAAUGCCCACAUACUCGCUUGGAACAUUAAAAACGGACAAAUAAAAUUGAAACUGACAGGUCAUUUCAGCAAAAUAACUUCUCUAGCAUUUCACGACGAUGGUGUUCAUUUGGUCAGUGCGGGUCGUGACAAAGUACUAAUCCUUUGGGACCUUGAAAAAGGCACGUCGAUUCGUGUCUUACCGGUGUAUGAAAGUCUUGAAGGAGUGUUUUUGGUACCAAGAGAUGGCACAUUACCCGUUGAACUUUCAACCAAGAAAUCCGAUGACAUUUAUGCUGCGGCUGCAGGGGAAAAGGGUAUUGUAAAGAUCUGGGAGAUGAGAAGCGGACGUGAAAUUUUUAGUCAGAAAAGUUCCAUUGUACCGGCUGCAAAAGAGGAAGGCGGUCUUUCUGUGACGCAAUUAAUUUUCAAUUCCGCUCUUCGAAACUUUGCUGUCAUUACUGUCGAUCACAAUAUCAUACUGCAUUCCCUUGAUACUUUUGCGUGCACUAAUCAGUUAGUCGGUUACUCCGACGAAAUUCUUGACGUCGCUUAUCUCGGUGCAUCUGACAGUCAUCUCGCUGUUGCCACCAACAGUGCAGACAUUAAACUGUAUGAAUUGACGAAAAUGAGUUGUCAACUGCUGACAGGUCAUACGGAUCUCGUUUUGGCGCUCGCGACUUCUCCAGCUAAUCGUAAUUUGCUUGUGUCUUCAGCGAAGGACAAUAGUGUUAGAAUUUGGCUGAUGAAUCCAGAAACAAUGGAAGUUUCUUGCAUCGGCUGUGGCGUUCGACACACAGCGUCGGUCGGCUCUGUAGCAAUUUCUCAAGUCACAGGACGUUUCUUUGCUUCCGUGAGUCAAGAUUCAUGUUUGAAAGUUUGGAGUUUACCUGAGAAAAUAUUACCAACAGACAGAGAUAUUGCUCUGAACGCUGAGCAUACGGUCGUGGCUCAUCAAAAAGAUAUCAACAGCGUUGCGGUUUCACCAAACGAUCGACUUAUAGCGAGUGGCUCCCAAGACAAAACAGCAAAAUUAUGGAACAGCGAGAAUUUGCAAUUGUUAGGAGUAUUUCGUGGCCAUCGACGUGGUGUAUGGUGCGUGAGAUUUUCACCAAUCGAUCAAGUUCUCUUGACCACCUCAGCUGAUUGUACCAUCAAACUUUGGUCACUUACAGAGCUUAAUUGCUUGAAGACGUUGGAGGGUCACGAAUCGUCGGUGCUUCGAGCAGAAUUUUUAUCUCGCGGUAUGCAAAUAAUAACGACCGGUGGAGAUGGGUUGCUCAAACUUUGGAGCGUCAAGACAUCAGAAUGCAUUACGACCCUCGAGGAACAUGAGAGUCGGGCUUGGGCAUUAGCAGUCAAUAAAAACGAGUCUCACGUAAUCAGCGGCGGGAGUGAUUCGUUGCUUGUAGUGUGGCGUGACGUUACGGAAGAGAACCGACUAAAAGCGACAGCUGAGCGCGAAAAACUAAUUCUUGAAGAACAAAAAUUAUCGAAUUUAUUGAAAGCCAAUGAACUCACAGAUGCGCUAAGGCUUGCCUUGAAACUCGAGCGGCCUUAUCAAGUUAUAAAAAUAGUCGAUGCGAUAAUAAAACAAGGGAAGAACCAAUUGGUCGAUGCAAUUCGGGAGCUCAAGCCGAAUCGCAAAGAAGCGCUUCUGAGAUGUGCCGUUACGUGGAACACGAACAGUCGUAAUUCUCAUGCGGCGCAGCUCGUUAUAAAUGCGCUGCUGAACGAGAUUGGAAGCGACAACUUGCAGAAUUCAGGAUUGGCUUCUUCGAUCGAGGCUAUGAUACCAUACACAGAAAGACAUUUCAAGCGUCUCACGCGGCUCAUGCAAGACCUUCAUCUACUCAAUUAUACCGUUAGCCGUAUAAAGCCGCACAACGAACGUCCGCUAAUCGAUAAUUCUACGAAUAUAUAAAUUUCAUUGCGAUGAAUAUAAUCGUCCGGAAGUAGGCGAUCGAAUUUACAAGCAGUUUUAUAUCGUAUUUUUUUUGGAAUAAAGAAUGGGAUCGUCGUUUCGUGAAGUCGAUGUCACCUCGGCGUCACUUUCGCAGUGGAAAUGGUCCAUAGCAAGUUGAAGACCAACGGCUUUCAUAUCGUUUUUUUGGAGCGCACUCGUAAUGUACAUGUGCAUUUCCAAAAAACGUUCCAUCGUCACACCGAGUUCAGCUUGUUCCAUUUCUAACUGAGAAAGGAGAUUGACGAACCAUUCGAACGAGUGUUGGUCGCGAUUGAUCCAGAAGAAAUCAACCUAUCGAAACUAGGGGGAAUCUCACUCGCCCAAGAAAAUUGACACUUUGGACACGUGUGUCUCGCCUUCCAGUACCUGUGCAUAAUCGAUCGUAAAAUCGAGGCGAAAGGUGUCACGCCGAUUCCCGUAGCUAUGAGAACAGCGUGUUGGGCUUGGAAAAUAUGACUCGAUGGAGCGCCGUAAGGACCAGCCAAGAGUAUCUGUCAAAAAUUGGAACACGGUUUUGUCGAAUCGUUACAAAAAUAUCAAAAUUGUCGAAGGGAAAAAAGUUUCAGUCAAAAAAUUGGAUGAGAAGUUGGAUUACGAUUUUUGAAUGGAAACGAAACUCUUGAGAAUGAUAUUCAGCAGUGAUAAUUACCUCUAAGGGUUUUCCAACCGGAUAAUUUAUCACCGGUUGAAAAUUAAAUUGAUUUUUUCCAUA